AGUUUUGUUGAGUAUAGCCUUUUGUAGAAGGAUCUGAUGGUGUUUUGGAUUUCUUCAGGAUCUGUUGUUAUGUCUCCCUUUUCAUUUCUGAUUUUGUUAUUAGGAUUUUGUCCCUGUGCCCUUUAGUGAGUCUAGCUAAGGGUUUAUCUAUCUUGUUGAUUUUCUCAAAGAACCAACUCCUCGUUUGGUUAAUUCUUUGAAUAGUUCUUCUUGUUUCCACUUGGUUGAUUUCACCCCUGAGUUUGAUUAUUUCCUGCCGUCUACUCCUCUUGGGUGAAUUUGCUUCCUUUUUUUCUAGAGCUUUUAGAUGUGUUGUCAAGCUGCUAGUAUGUGCUGUCUCCCCUUUCUUCUUGGAGGCACUCAGAGCUAUGAGUUUCCCUCUUAGAAAUGCUUUCAUUGUGUCCCAUAGGUUUGGGUACGUUGUGGCUUCAUUUUCAUUAAACUCUAAAAAGUCUUUAAUUUCUUUCUUUAUUCCUUCCUUGACCAAGGUAUCAUUGAGAAGAGUGUUAUUCAGUUUCCACGUGAAUGUUGGCUUUCCAUUAUUUAUGUUGUUAUUGAAGAUCAGUCUUAGGCCAUGGUGGUCUGAUAGGAUACAUGGGACAAUUUCUAUAUUUUUGUAUCUAUUGAGGCCUGUUUUGUGACCAAUUAUAUGGUCAAUUUUGGAGAAGGUCCCGUGAGGUGCUGAGAAGAAGGUAUCUCCUUUUGUUUUAGGAUAAAAUGUUCUGUAGAUAUCUGUCAGGUCCAUUUGUUUCAUAACUUCUGUUAGUUUCACUGUGUCCCUGUUUAGUUUCUGUUUCCACGAUCUGUCCUUUGAAGAAAGUGGUGUGUUGAAGUCUCCCACUAUUAUUGUGUGAGGUGCAAUGUAUGCUUUGAGCUUUACUAAAGUGUCUCUAAUGAAUGUGGCUGCCCUUGCAUUUGGUGCGUAGAUAUUCAGAAUUGAGAGUUCCUCUUGGAGGAUUUUACCUUUGAUGAGUAUGAAGUGUCCCUCCUUGUCUUUUUUGAUAACUUUGGGUUGGAAGUCGAUUUUAUCCGAUAUUAAAAUGGCUACUCCAGCUUGUUUCUUCAGUCCAUUUGCUUGGAAAAUUGUUUUCCAGCCUUUCACUCUGAGGUAGAAACACACACUUUCUGAUGUACACAUUAAACAAUAUAAACUUCUAGAUGCAUUUGGUAGGGAACAUGGUUUCAGAACAUUUUGGUGGACUAGUCUAUUAUUAUCUUUAUAUUAUCUCUCAAAGAAAAUGAUAGGCUCAACUCUAACUUCGGUGGAUUUUUUUGGCUAUGGCAAAACUAUAUUGCCACCUGAAUGUAUUAAAAACAAUUAAAAAGUAGACUACAUUUUAAUGCUAGUAAAUGAAAGAACUAAGAGUUCAAAAUAGUCUGCCUCACCAGUUGCAGGGUCUGGGUGCUGAGGCAUACAAAGGAAAUGUGAGCUGGUUUGCCAGGGACACGUGAAGUGGCUCUUCUUAUAAGCUAGGUCACCCUAAUUAGUCAACUCUCCAAUAUGUGAAGCUGUCUCAAUCAUUGCACCUGAGGCUGUUAACCUGAACCAACUCUGCGGAUCUUAAUGCUAGUACAUAGGUUGAGCUAGGCUGGGCUUUAAAAAUAGGUACGAAAAAAUAUAUAAAGAAACUAAAGUUAUGGGGGUUGAAAUGCAGACUGGAAAGCACUCAUAACUAAGUGUGAUAGCACAUGCCUGAAAUCUCACACUCAAGAGGCUAAAGUUGGAGAAAUGUAAGUUUGAAGGCCAAAACAAAAACCAAAUAAACAAAGAGGACACCAGUAGAUAUAUAUACUAACAUGGAAGAAGGAAAUCUCAUGGGGCUUCGUAGGCAGCUAAGGAAUACAGAGCCCAGAGGAAACAGGAGAGAAAAAGUCUGUCUAGGGAAGAGCCCUCAAAUUGUGGUCAGCCCUGAAAUCAUACACAUACAGGUAACAUUAUACAUUAUAAAGACUGGUAAGGUGUGUGUGUGUGAGUGUGUAUAACAACAAUUAAAGAAAUAGACGUCAUGAAUUUGAGAGAGCAAAGUGAGUUACGUUGUAAGGUUUGGAGGGAAGAAAGAAAAGAGGAAAAACAAUGCAAUUAUAUUUUAAUUUCAAAAAUAAAUGUUUAUAAAAGUACAUAUAGAAAAAAAGACACUUUGCUUUUACAUUUUUAAAACAAAAAGGGGAGAAGAUCAAGGAUGAAGAGGCCCAUUAGAGUAGUAAUUAGGAAAUCAUGAUGAUCAGUAGAUUUUAAACAUUUUCACCAGAUU
rnacentral:lncRNA from 1 species